rnacentral:rRNA from 1 species
AUGUCCUGUUUAUCCGCUUCCAUGCUAUGUUUCCUCCUUGCUUUGCUAACUCCUGCCAACCUCACUUCAGCCACUGGCAAUAUCGGAUUCAGCCUGCCUCUCGUGUCCAGCCACCACAAGCUCAACCACACAACCGGUGAAAUCGGGGAGCUCUUGCUGCCUGAGGCUGAUGUGAACCCCAUGAACAUACGACCCAAGGUAGCCCCUGCCGGUUGGCCGAUGUUCAGUGUCGUCGUCGGAGUCGGCAGCGGCAGAGGCCAGCACUUCUAUAAGCUCGCGCUGGACUUCGUGGGCAACCUCACAUGGAUCCGGUGUAAGCCUUGCACCCCAGAGGAGCAGCAGGAGGGCCCAAUCUUUGACGCCGCCCUCUCCCCAAAGUAUGCGCUUGUCAAGCCAACGAGCAUCCACUGCAAGCCCCCCUUCGUCGGCCACGGUCACGACAAGUGCAGCUUCUCCGGCACCACUUCGCUCGCUGCCGUGCACGGGUACCUGGCCAGCGACGUGUUCACCUUUGGCGACACCGGCACCGGUCAUAGGAGCUUGGGCGGACUCAUAUUCGGGUGCGCACACAGAGCAACUGAGUUCUGGAACCACGGCAUUGUCGUUGGUGCCAUGAGCUUGAACAAAAGGUCGACGUCGUUCAAGUACCAGCUUGCUGCGCACGGCUUCGCCACUUCAAAGUUUUCUUACUGCCUCUUCUACCACGGCCAACACAGCGCCAAGCAUGGCUUCCUCAGGUUCGGCAGUGACGUCCCCAACCACGACCACGCCCACAGCACGGCGUUGAUGUACCACGACACAAUGUUGUACUUCAUCGGCUUGGAGGGCGUUAGCCUGAACGGUCAGAGGCUCACGAGAAUCAACCGAGGUAUGUUCUCUCGCGACCAGGCAAGGAAACACGGCGGCACCAUCAUCGAUGUCGGGACACCCGAGACCAGGAUGAUCCGUGCGGCGUACGACAUCCUGGAGGCCGCGGUCGUCUCGGAUCUACAACAUCGCCUCGGGGUGCGCCGUGCCGGAUACCGAGUACCGGGCUCCCACCUCUGCUUCAUCGUGUCGAUACAUGGGAUCUACCAGAAGCUCCCAAGCAUCACGCUCCACCUGGCCGGUGGCGCCCAGCUUACGAUCAGGUGGGAUCUACUGUUUGUGACAAAAAUGCACCAGGGAGCCCAGCACGCCUGCUUCCUCAUCUUUCCGGACGAGAAGAUGACGGUUCUUGGCUACUCUACUUUGCUCCGGAGAAUUGCGAGAACGACAGUAGCUAGAUCAAUAUGCCUUUCUUUCUGA